rnacentral:rRNA from 1 species
AACGAACGCUGGCGGCAGGCUUAACACAUGCAAGUCGAACGCGUGCAGCAAUGCACGAGUGGCGCACGGGUGAGUAACGCGUGGAUAUCUGCCUUUUGGUUCGGAAUAACCCCGGGAAACUGGGGCUAAUACCGGAUGGUUCCUACGGGAUAAAGAUUUAUCGCCAAAGGAUGAGUCCGCGUCCGAUUAGCUAGUUGGUGAGGUAAUGGCUCACCAAGGCGACGAUCGGUAGCUGGUCUGAGAGGACGAUCAGCCACACUGGGACUGAGACACGGCCCAGACUCCUACGGGAGGCAGCAGUGGGGAAUAUUGGACAAUGGGGGCAACCCUGAUCCAGCCAUGCCGCGUGAGUGAUGAAGGCCUUCGGGUUGUAAAGCUCUUUUGGCGGGGACGAUGAUGACGGUACCCGCAGAAUAAGCCCCGGCUAACUUCGUG